rnacentral:rRNA from 1 species
GAUGAACGCUGGCGGCGUGCCUAAUACAUGCAAGUCGAGCGAACAGACGAGGAGCUUGCUCCCCCGACGUUAGCGGCCGACGGGCGAGUAACCCGCGGAUAACCUACUUAUCAGCCUGGGAUAACUCUGGGAAACCGUAGCCAAUACCCUAUAAUAUAUUGAACCGCAUGGUUCCAUAGUGAAAGUCGGUUUUGCUGUCACUUACAGAUGGAUCCGCGCCGCACUAGCUAGUUCGUAAGGUAACGGCCUACCAAGGCAACGAUGCGUAGCCGACCUGAGAGGGUGAUCGGCCACGCUGGCACUGAGACACGGUCCAGACUCCUACGGGAGGCCGCAGUAGGGAAUCUUCCGCAAUGGGCGAAAGCCUGACGGAGCAACGCCGCGUGAGUGAUGACGGUCUUCGGAUCGUAAAACUCUGUUAUUAGGGAAGAACAAAUGUGUAAGUAACUAUGCACGUCUUGACGGUACCUAAUCAGAAAGCCACGGCUAACUACGUG